rnacentral:rRNA from 1 species
GACGAACGCUGGCGGCGUGCUUAACACAUGCAAGUCGAACGGAAAGGCCCUGCUUGCAGGGUACUCGAGUGGCGAACGGGUGAGGAACACGUGGGUGAUCUGCCCUGCACUUCGGGAUAAGCCUGGGCAACUGGGUCUAAUACCGGAUAGGAGCCACUUUUAGUGGGAUGGUGGGAAAGUUUUUUCGGUGUAGGAUGAGAUCGCGGCCUAUCAGCUUGUUGGUGGGGUAAUGGCCUACCAAGGCGGCGACGGGUAGCCGGCCUGAGAGGGUGGACGGCCACAUUGGGACUGAGAUACGGCCCAGACUCCUACGGGAGGCAGCAGUGGGGAAUAUUGCACAAUGGGCGCAAGCCUGAUGCAGCGACGCCGCGUGGGGGAUGACGGCCUUCGGGUUGUAAACUCCUUUCGCUAGGGACGAAGCUUUUUGUGACGGUACCUAGAUAAGAAGCACCGGCUAACUACGUG